UUAUUUGAGAGUUUGAUCCUGGCUCAGGAUGAACGCUGGCGGCGUGCCUAACACAUGCAAGUUGAGCGAUUUACUUCGGUAAAGAGCGGCGGACGGGUGAGUAACGCGUGGGUAACCUACCCUGUACACACGGAUAACAUACCGAAAGGUAUGCUAAUACGGGAUAAUAUAUUUGAGAGGCAUCUCUUGAAUAUCAAAGGUGAG
rnacentral:rRNA from 1 species